UUUAUUUAGUCUAGUUAUAUGGUGAGAUUUAACACUCAUACCCUCCACCUCUGAGUUGAAUAGAAAAGAUUGAGUAUCAUGUCCUGUAAACUGUUGUGUUACAUUUCUGACCUCUGAAUACUUCAACCCAAGUGUCUCGGCUAUUCUUCCAUGUUCAACAAGGGCUAUACCCUUCACCUCUGAGUUGAAUAGAAAAGAUUGAGUAUUAUGUCCUGUAAACUGUUGAGUUACAUUUCUGACCUCUGAAUACUUCAACCUAGGCAUUAGGGCUAAUCUUCUAUGUGGAAAAAGGUCACUGAGUGGUUUUUAUAAUAUAAACCAUCCCUGAACUAGACCAGUGUCAGAUUUCUUGACAAUAGGAUUGAAUUCUUAAAGGGUUUACAUUUUAAAUGAUUGGUUAACUUUAAUUCCCACAAUAUUUAAAAGUAAAGUUAAUUGUUGUUUAAAUGGAGUCAGAUUGAAUAAAUAUUUACUAUACUUUACUUUACUUUGGAAAACCUCUUGCUAACGCCGGAAAGACAGAAUACUUCUUGGGGAGAGAUUGUUACUUGGUAGUAGAUAUUUCCUCCCCUACAGUUUGGUGACCCUGACGUGAUCUCGCGAUUGCAGCAAGCAAAAGGCGAGCGAAGUCAACUCCGGCGGAUCGAACAAUGAGGUGUGAUUUCCUCUGUGUCUUCCUACAGCUUCUGUGAAUGAUUCCAAGCUCAUCAGCGUCCAGUCUCUACAUGGAUACUCGGACGCCAUUCAGGUGCCACAUACACAGUGGCGUGUUACCAAUGAAAUGAACUCUUUUCCUAUGAGGGUUUGACCUGUCCAGCAAAUCACAGUUUCUGCCUGGAAGUUACUGAGGACUUUUCCAUGGGUCAAAUCAACAUUUUUCGGCAGAGUACCAAAAACUACCCCUGGACUUAGACAUCUCUCCCUGGUGGGAGGACAAUUUCUGUGGAGGAGGCACCCAGGUACAGGCCAACCUGGCCAAGAAGACAGUGGAAAUGCUGUCCAGCUCAUCUACACACUCUGCCCUGGUACUCAGCCCCCUGCAACUGCCAGAUCUGCAAAGACUGAAAUGAUGGAAUUAUGGGUGUGGUUAUGAACUGUCAAUUUUCUGUUUGACCCCUAUCGUUUUGUUCCACAUGCCUCUCAGGGGCCAAAGGGGGGAAACUGUAAGACAGUGAGACCACACCCUGUAGACACUAGACGAAACAUCAUCACUCUGUAUAUUCUGCUCUUUGAUUGAAUUAAUCAACUAGGUUCAAACCUCAUCAGUGGGGACAGUCCCACCACUCUGAAGUGUAAACAUUGUCUUGUUUGAAGUGUGUCUCAGUGCAGGAAGUAGACAAGUCAAGGUGGCUCAAUUGUCAUGUGAAAAGACCCCAUGGUGAGUAAAAGGUCCCCAGAAGGAAAUAGCCUUCCUGAGUAAAUCACAAUGGAUAUGUAAAUGUAAAGUGUCUGUAUUCUGGGGGGAUAUCUUGGAUAUAAGGGACAGAGCUCCCAUUCACCGUGGAGUUGGACUGCUUAACAGAAGCUCCCACACAUCAACUGUGUGUCAUACAACUUCCUGGCUGUAUUUUUCUACCACUGGACAUUUCAAUAAACUGGUAUGUUAAACCCUUCAUUUCUAA